UAUGCUACAAUAAGACUGUUGCUCAGCAACCCUUGGUGCUUAGUUCCCUUUCACCAAGCAUAUUAGACACGUCGUUUUGAGUUAAAAACAGACGUCAAAGGAGAAAAAUG
rfam:Streptococcus iniae ITSA1 contig021, whole genome shotgun sequence.